UCCGAGAGCCGCACGUCCAGCGCCCGCGGGGUUGGCGGCCGGCUGGGCCAGAGCCGCGGUCUGGGCUGUAGGACCCCAGCGCGGCCUCGCAACUUAGCUGGCCUCGCUGCCGCCCUUCCGCCUUGGGCCCAGUCUGAGCUCCGGCACCUUCCAGGCCGGCGCCGAGCCGAGGCGGGAACGCGGCCGUUUUGUUGAGCGUGACGUAACUUUCUGUGAGGAACUGUGGAGUGUGCCGCCUCGAGGCGCUCACCUUUCACUCUACCACAAGCAAGACCUUUCAAAAUGCUUGGCAAAGAAACAAGACUCAAGAACGCUGUUGUGGAAUUGACAUGCCCUGCUGUAGCCAUCUACUCACUAAUGGACCACCCAUUACCAUCUGGGCCUUGGGCUCCUUUGAUAUGAUCCCUGCUCAUUCAGACAUCUUUACAUGCUGCUUCUGGGACUUUCCUGAGUCACCUGCCCUACCUCAGUAGGUGUAUCUAGUCUGUGACUCCCAGCUCUUCCUGAAUCAACCCUUCCACUGCAACUUUAUGACUGUUUGGGCCGAUGAACAAUAAACUCUUUUUUUUUGGUGCUUGGUCAAGAAGAAUUGAGAACAGAGAACGAGGAGACAGACGGAGGGGCUCUCUUCCUCUGUGCUGUUGACAGUGAGGGUGUCCCAUCCUCCCCCCAAAAGAUAAAUCACACACAAAAAUAUUUGAAAGAACCUACCCCAUGUCUUCAAUAAUUUUAGGGUUAUCUUCUUGGGAGCUUUCUGGAGAUGCAUUUCCAUUUGCAAGGCAUCUUUGUGUAUCAGAGAAAAAAACUAAUUUUGGCUUACCCAUCUGUGGGUAAUAAACAGGAACUAUGUGAUACAUUGUUUCAAAGUUACCUGUAACAUACAAAGAAUUAAAAGCAUUCUGCUAUGAAACUAAUAACUAAAUUGCAAACAUGGCAUAGAAAAGCAUUAGACUAUCUAAAAUUACGUUUUAUGAAAUGGAAUUCGAUGAGGUUAUAUAGAUCCACAGCAAAACUAAUAAAAAAUUAAUAUCCAAGAUAAAAAUAUCACAGACUUUCAUACAUGAGAACCUACACAGCAAAAUUUAUGGUCAACUCUCAGAGACAAAAUGGGUAUACCAACAUUAAUAUAAAUAUUAACUGCCCUUGCAUUUUGCUGUUAUGAGUUUAUUUUUUCAGUGUGUUUAACCUCUAGGGAGUAGAUUAGUCAAUUAUAGUUUUUGUAAUAUGUUCAUACCUUUAUUUCCAAACUUAACAUUCCACAUCAUUUCCCUGUUUAAAGAUCCUCCUUCCUUUCCAGCAAUGAUUUCCUUUCAAGUGGAGACUGCCUUAUUUGCCUCUAAUUCCCAGGGCCUAGCAUAGUCUUGGGCACAUCUAAGAUGCUCAACAAAUGUUUAUUAAAUGACUAAAUGAAUAUUUCCAUCAAAGCACUACAAAAAUAAAUGCUGAAUAAAACAAAACCAGUUCAACCAAAAAAAAAAAUGCUGA